GCUUGUCUCAAAGAUUAAGCCAUGCAUGUCUAAGUAUAAGCGACUAUACUGUGAAACUGCGAAUGGCUCAUUAAAUCAGUUAUGGUUUAUUUGAUGGUACCUACUACUUGGAUAACCGUAGUAAUUCUAGAGCUAAUACAUGCAGGAAGACCCGACUCACGAAGGGGUGUAUUUAUUAGAUAAAAAACCAAUGCCCUUCGGGGCUCCUUGGUGAAUCAUAAUAACUUAACGAAUCGCAUGGCCUUGCGCCGGCGAUGGUUCAUUCAAAUUUCUGCCCUAUCAACUUUCGAUGGUAGGAUAGUGGCCUACCAUGGUAUCAACGGGUAACGGGGAAUUAGGGUUCGACUCCGGAGAGGGAGCCUGAGAAACGGCUACCACAUCCAAGGAAGGCAGCAGG
rnacentral:rRNA from 1 species